rnacentral:lncRNA from 1 species
GUGAAAAUUAUGAGGAAAAAUAAUGAUCAUGAUAAAAUACACAUUCCAAAAAAAAUAAAAUAACAAAACUCCAAGAAAAAAUCAAAACGAAAAAAUCCCUUAUCAAAUGACGAAAUCAAAAGCUGAAAAACAUCAAAAGAAUGAUAAACAGCUGUCAUAUUCUUGACUUGGUACAUACAAUACAUGUAGUAUAGUGUACUCUGCGUUGUGUAAAUGUGUUACUUGUUUGCUCAGCAAGUCGGACAAACCUUGCAAACUGUUAACCCGAAUAAUUCAGUCGUUAUAUUCCGCUUACUACAUUAAGUAAGUAGGAGAGAUCGAUUACGGGGAGGGACUGAAUUAUUCGGGUUAGCAAACUGUAUGCAAAAUUUCACAAAUUUCAACAUUCUGUCAUUUGUGAAAAAUUAUUUACAUAACAAAUCUUGAGAUCAUAUAUGCAUUCUUUAUAUAAGUAAAACAACUGCGAAAUUUAAAAGUUCCAGCUUGAAAUUCAACCUGUAUCAGAUGUAAGCCUGAGUCUGUACUCUGUGUGCCUUUGUAUUUUUAUCAAAAUGCCUAAUCCAGCAGCCUGUCAUGAAACAAAAAAGAAACUCCAGACGAUAUGCGCA